UUGACGGUACCCUACUAGAAAGGAGCCGCUAACUUCGUGCCAGAAGCGUCGGUAAUACGGGGGCUCCAAGCGUUAUCCGGUGUUAUUGGGCGUAAAGAGUCGUGUAGGUGGUUGGGUAAGUUAUCUUUCAAAUAUCUUUGCUUAACAAAGAGGAGGGGGAUAAUACUGCUCGACUAGAAUUUUCUCAAGGGAGAUCGGAACUGAGGGAGGAGUAGUGAAAUGCGUUGAUACCCUCGGGAACACCAGUGGCGUAGGCGGAUCUCUGGGAGAAGAUUGACACUGAGACACGAAAGCUAGGGGAGCGAAGCAGAUUAGAGACCUGCGUAGUCCUAGCCGUAAACGCAUGCUUGCUAGCUGCAUGAAUCUACCUUCGGGUGGUAUCGUGUGGCGAAGGUAACCCGUUAAGCAAGCCGCCUGGAAAGUACGGCCGCAAGGCUGAAAUUCAAAGGAAUUGGCGGGGAGGCACACAACCAGUGGAACAUGUGGUUUAAUUCGAGACUAACCGAAGAACCUCACCAGGGUUUGACAUGUAGCCGCACGUCUUAAGAAAUUAAGACUCUCUUGAAGGUGCUACACAGGUGCUGCAUGGCUGUCGUCAGCUCGUUCCGUGAGGAGUGCCCUUAAGUGGGACAACGAGCGCAACCCCUAUUACAUGUUAGAAAUGUCAUGUAAGACUGCCUUGCCAUUUGGCGGGGAGGAAGGAGGGGCAGACGUCAAGUCCGCAUGGUCCUUAUGCCCUGGGCUACACACAUGUUACAAUGAGUACGGCAAUGAGUCUGUCGCGAGCACGUAAGUGUAAGCUAAUCUCUUAAAUGUACUCUCAGUGGGGAUUGAGGUCUGCAACUCGACCUCAUGAACACGGAAUUGGUAGUAAUCGCGGGUCAGCUAUACCGCGGUGAAUACGUUCUUGCCUCUUGCACACACCGCCCGUCAAACCAGCAAAGU
rnacentral:rRNA from 1 species